AGCAGGCGGGCACAAUCAGUGAGAGCUGAUCAGUUUCAUUUCUCAAGAGAAGAUGCCUAACCCUUGUGCCUGUAUGAAACCAGCCCGACGCAAGGCUCAUCAGUACACUACCUCUACAGACAAGAGAUGUGGUGGCUCUUGAAUGCUGCGUUGAUUGUAGGAGAAGCAGUCGUUGCAGUCAGUGCCGUUGCAGCAGCUCCUUUAGUUCUGGGUGCUGUAUGUUUCACCUCAGCUGGAAUAGAUGCAGGCUCCUGGGCUCCCUACAUGAUGGCUGCUGCUGCUGUGAUGCCAAUAGGUGGAGCAGUGUUGGGAUGGCUGACUCUAAUCCUCAUCUGAGAAAUCAAUGAAGGAACAAUGUUUUUACUUUUGCCAAAUGAAGGAGGCGACUGCAAUCUGUUCCCUUAUUAAACGGCACUUUUUUUCAUCUCAGACAACUGAAAUGUUGUGUUCAAU